GAUGAACGCUGGCGGCGUGCCUAAUACAUGCAAGUCGAGCGAACAGAUGAGGAGCUUGCUCGUCUGACGUUAGCGGCGGACGGGUGAGGAACACGUGGAUAACCUACCUAUAAGACUGGGAUAACAUUGGGAAACCGGAGCUAAUACCGGAUAAUAUAUUGAACCGCAUGGUUCAAUAGUGAAAGACGGUUUUGCGGUCACUUAUAGAUGGAUACGCGUCGCAUUAGUUAGUUGGUACGGUAACGGCUUACCAAGGCAAGGACGCGAAGCCGACCCGAAAGGGUGAUCGCCCACCUGGGCAGAGAGACUCGGCACAGACUCCUGCAGUAGGACGCGGUACGGAAUCUUCCGCAAGGCGCGAAAGGCUAACGGAGCACCACCGCCUGAGUGAUGAAGGUCCUCUGCUCGUAGAGCGCUGUAAUUAUUAGGGUACUAAAGUGUAAUUAACUGUGCUGAUAUUGACGGUACCGGGUCAAAAAGCCCCGGCUAACUCCGUG
rnacentral:rRNA from 1 species